rnacentral:rRNA from 1 species
GACGAACGCUGGCGGCGUGCUUAACACAUGCAAGUCGAACGGAAAGGCCCUGCUUUUGUGGGGUGCCCGAGUGGCGAACGGGUGAGUAACACGUGAGUAACCUGCCCUUGACUUUGGGAUAACUUCAGGAAACUGGGGCUAAUACCGGAUAGGAGCUCCUGCUGCAUGGUGGGGGUUGGAAAGUUUCGGCGGUUGGGGAUGGACUCACGGCUUAUCAGCUUGUUGGUGGGGUAGUGGCUUACCAAGGCUUUGACGGGUAGCCGGCCUGAGAGGGUGACCGGCCACAUUGGGACUGAGAUACGGCCCAGACUCCUACGGGAGGCAGCAGUGGGGAAUAUUGCACAAUGGGCGGAAGCCUGAUGCAGCAACGCCGCGUGCGGGAUGACGGCCUUCGGGUUGUAAACCGCUUUCGCCUGUGACGAAGCGUGAGUGACGGUAAUGGGUAAAGAAGCACCGGCUAACUACGUG